UACGUAGGGUGCAAGCGUUGUCCGGAAUUAUUGGGCGUAAAGAGCUCGUAGGCGGCCUGUUGCGUCCGCUGUGAAAGCCCGGGGCUUAACCCCGGGUCGGCAGUGGAUACGGGCAGGCUAGAGGUAGGUAGGGGAGAAUGGAAUUCCCGGUGUAGCGGUGAAUGCGCAGAUAUCGGGAGGAACACCGGUGGCGAAGGCGGUUCUCUGGGCCUUACCUGACGCUGAGGAGCGAAAGCGUGGGGAGCGAACAGG
rnacentral:rRNA from 1 species